rfam:Candidatus Endomicrobium sp. Rsa215, complete genome.
GGCGGCGUAGCUCAGGGGUAGAGCAGAGGACUCAUAAGCCUUUGGUCGGAGGUUCAAUUCCUCCCGCCGCCA